rnacentral:rRNA from 1 species
GAUGAACGCUGGCGGCGUGCCUAAUACAUGCAAGUAGAACGCUGAAGGAAGGAGCUUGCUCUUUCUGGAUGAGUUGCGAACGGGUGAGUAACGCGUAGGUAACCUGCCUGGUAGCGGGGGAUAACUAUUGGAAACGAUAGCUAAUACCGCAUAACAGUAGAUGUUGCAUGAUAUCUGCUUGAAAGGGGCAAUUGCUCCACUACCAGAUGGACCUGCGUUGUAUUAGCUAGUUGGUGAGGUAACGGCUCACCAAGGCGACGAUACAUAGCCGACCUGAGAGGGUGAUCGGCCACACUGGGACUGAGACACGGCCCAGACUCCUACGGGAGGCAGCAGUAGGGAAUCUUCGGCAAUGGACGGAAGUCUGACCGAGCAACGCCGCGUGAGUGAAGAAGGUUUUCGGAUCGUAAAGCUCUGUUGUAAGAGAAGAACGAGUGUGAGAGUGGAAAGUUCACACUGUGACGGUAUCUUACCAGAAAGGGACGGCUAACUACGUGCCAGCAGCCGCGGUAAUACGUAGGUCCCGAGCGUUAUCCGGAUUUAUUGGGCGUAAAGCGAGCGCAGGCGGUUAGAUAAGUCUGAAGUUAAAGGCUGUGGCUUAACCAUAGUACGCUUUGGAAACUGUUUAACUUGAGUGCAGAAGGGGAGAGUGGAAUUCCAUGUGUAGCGGUGAAAUGCGUAGAUAUAUGGAGGAACACCGGUGGCGAAAGCGGCUCUCUGGUCUGUAACUGACGCUGAGGCUCGAAAGCGUGGGGAGCAAACAGG